UGGGACGUCGCCAAGUGGUAAGGCAUCGGGUUUUGGGUCCGACAUUCGCAGGUUCGAAUCCUGCCGUCCCAG
rnacentral:tRNA from 1 species